UCACACAUCUGGUGAGGUCGUUAGAAGGU
rnacentral:piRNA from 1 species